UUCUUUUUCCUCCCAAUACGCUCUAGUUUCUCUUCUGCAAAAACUGUCAUCAAUCCACAAGUUCUCUUCCUCUUUUGUAAAUACUCUGUGGAAACUUCAAUUUCAUUCGCACAUACAGGUUUUCACUGAGACUGACUCAAAAAUCAUAACGUUUUCUACCAUCGGCCUGAACACAAUGGUAUAUUUUCUAGAUCCCUAGAGUUUAGCACUAUUGUUGCAAAAGAGAAAUUUUAACCUUCGUCUUUAUGGCAUAACAAUGUCGCCUACCGAGAAUGAGUGUAUUAUGUAAGGUGCUGUUAGUUUAAGCUUGCAUAAUUUGAAUUUAUUUUUUGUCAUGUUCACAUUGUUUUGUCGUGUUUUACUGUUUUUUGAGCCUAUAGGCAAUACAUUUGGGUUACAGAUUCAAGGUUUGAGGGAAAAAAGUAGGUUUUAUUCAAAAAGAUUGUUGGGCUGGAUGCAUACAUCUGUCCAUUUCUUUUCACACUUUAGUUUCUCUUCUACAAAAGUAAGUCUUAUGUAGACUAUUCGCAUGUAAGAGUUGUCACUGAGACUUUCUAGAAAAUCAUAACACUUACUACCAUUGCCCUUUUAAUCUCUUAAAAAUCAGUAAGAAUCUCUUAGCUUUCUUCA